rnacentral:rRNA from 1 species
UACGGAGGGUGCAAGCGUUAUCCGGAUUCACUGGGUUUAAAGGGUGCGUAGGUGGUCAGGUAAGUCAGUGGUGAAAUCUCCGAGCUUAACUCGGAAACUGCCGUUGAUACUAUUUGUCUUGAAUAUUGUGGAGGUAAGCGGAAUAUGUCAUGUAGCGGUGAAAUGCUUAGAUAUGACAUAGAACACCAAUUGCGAAGGCAGCUUACUACACAACUAUUGACGCUGAGGCACGAAAGCGUGGGGAUCAAACAGG